CUCUCCCCCUCUCUCUGUUUUUCACUCUUUUAAUUUGCUUUGCCUAUUUCUCUUUGCAUUCUUUCUUUUCUUUAAUAUGGCAUCUUCAGGUUUUGACCAGUUAUGCCAGGAAGCUGCAACUAUUUCAAAACAUCUUGACAUGAAAGCUGACAAUGCUGAACUUGAAGCAGCUACCAGGGAGGCUGAAGAAAUUCUACAAAUGUUCAAUCCUCCACUGCUGAAAAAGAAGACCAAACGAGCGAUUUCCUGGACUCAACAGACACAGUGAACUUUGAACUGCAUUUCAAAGCCAGCUUCUCAGCCGCAACACCGAGAACCAGAGUUGAGGUCAAUGUACUGCUGAGAAAAGUGCAAGAUCUGUUUAACCAAAAAUAUAAGGAUGCCGGAGGUACUGGAAGGCUCCCCUACCAGUCCCUGGUAAAUCAAGGCAUGACAGUUAAAGUUGCAGGACUGCCCAACAGCCUUACUUUCAAAAAGCCAUCCUAUUGUGGAAGGAAGCAGUUGGAGGGCAUUUUCAUUUGAAAUCAAUGCAGCACAAUGCAACUCCACUGACAAAGCAGAAGGAAUGUCAGAGGCGAUGGACGCAGAAGAGCUGGAAGAACAGUCCUCAGAAACAGCCACUACUGUAGCUAUCGUGAUGACUGCAGAUUAAGAUGGAGGCCAUUUGUGCUGUGUCUGCCGCGUCCUUUUCGAUGACAGGAAGAAAAAUGCUUCAAAGAAGUGGCGUUCAUGGUCACAGUGCACAGUGUGCCAAUCAUGGUCACACACUGCAUGUGGUUUUAAAAAAACAUGUGCCUUAAAUGCCAGUGUAAAGACACCAUGCAAACAGCCUGUAGCGCUGCAUCAGUGAUAGGAAACAUGCUAGUUACACAAGAUGUUUUAUGUUUUAACUUUGAGUUGUUUUUACUUUGUUCAUGACCCCAUCCCUACAAACACACACACACACACACAUUUUUUUUAAUUUUUAUGUAUUAGGUGCCAUUUAAUCUUUUUCAUGCAAAUGUAUUGUAAUGAUUACACUUAUAAUAAAACAUAUUUUUCAUUCA